CCUUGUACACACCGCCCGUCACACCAUGGGAGUCAGUUGCUCCAGAAGUGGCUUACCUAACCCGCAAGGGAGGGUGGUCCCCAAGGAGUGGCUGGUAACUGGGGUG
rnacentral:rRNA from 1 species